UACGUAGGGUGCGAGCGUUAAUCGGAAUUACUGGGCGUAAAGCGUGCGCAGGCGGUUCGUUAAGUCAGAUGUGAAAGCCCCGGGCUCAACCUGGGAACUGCAUUUGAAACUGGCGGGCUUGAGUGUGGCAGAGGGGGGUGGAAUUCCGCGUGUAGCAGUGAAAUGCGCAGAGAUGCGGAGGAACACCGAUGGCGAAGGCAGCCCCCUGGGCCAACACUGACGCUCAGGCACGAAAGCGUGGGGAGCAAACAGG
rnacentral:rRNA from 1 species